rnacentral:rRNA from 1 species
GUGGGGAAUAUUGGACAAUGGGCGAAAGCCUGAUCCAGCCAUGCCGCGUGUGUGAAGAAGGUCUUCGGAUUGUAAAGCACUUUAAGUUGGGAGGAAGGGCAUUAACCUAAUACGUUAGUGUUUUGACGUUACCGACAGAAUAAGCACCGGCUAACUUCGUGCCAGCAGCCGCGGUAAUACGAUGGGUGCAAGCGUUAAUCGGAAUUACUGGGCGUAAAGCGCGCGUAGGUGGUUCGUUAAGUUGGAUGUGAAAGCCCCAGGCACAACCUGGAGACUGCAUCCAAAACUGGCGAGCUAGAGUACGGUAGAGGGUGGUGGAAUUUCCUGUGUAGCGGUGAAAUGCGUAGAUAUAGGAAGGAACACCAGUGGCGAAGGCGACCACCUGGACUGAUACUGACACUGAGGUGCGAAAGCGUGGGGAGCAAACAGGAUUAGAAACCCCAGUAGUCC